CCGAGGCUAUAAAUAGCCUUCUUAUGAAUAAUGGUCAGUUUCUGCCAACUUAUUGGGUGUGACAAUUAGUACAGCGCUAAAUGUGAGUGAUUUUGUACGCGUAUACUUAAAAAAUAUAAUGGAAGGGCGACAAAGGGAAGCCAAAACAUUGCAGAAAUACAAGAUUAUGCAUAACCAACAAACUUCUAAUGUCCCUAGAAACGAAAUGGUAUCAAUCUCUUCGUCGGGCGUCAACACGGGAAGAGAAUCGAACGCAUUACCUAAGGACCUGGUUAAAAGCUAUUUGCAAACUGUCUGCGAUCGCAAAAGGCCCUGCACUUUUUCUUCCUAUUAUGAAACAUCGGACUUUGAGAGCGUAGCUUCAAAAAAAAGACAUAAGGGUACUUCCGACGUCCAAAAACGAGUUUCCGGAGAUGGCGAACAAAUGGUACAAUUUGGAACGGGAAAGGCAAAGAUACCAACAAAGUUGUUGGAAGAUCUAGCUGGGUCUUCCUAUACCAUCGCAACUAGAAAGUUGUUGACAUCUGUUUUCUCUCGACAGGUACUUGCUACACAUUCUUUGACGGGAAAACGCUCUCCAGCAUUUCCUAAUAAGCCAGCUAGAUUGAAGUUGGAUCCAGUUCUCGUCGAUGACAUCGUGCGAACAGUCGUACGGAUUUGCAAGGUGCCGGCAAGUCUAGUAAGGAAAAGCAUCACGACAAAGUGUGCCGACGAGAGCAAAAUGCUACGUAGCCUGGCUAAGAAUAAAUAAUGGCAAUCGUCGAAGGGAAAUCAUUAAAUAUCUUCUGAUUCUACUGAGAUAGCAUUUCGACAAUGGAAGGUCCAUAAAGGUACUUGGAAAAACAAUGGUAUCAAUCACUUCAUCGGGCGUCAAUGUGGGAAGAGACACCAAUACAUUACCAAACUACCCGGUUAAAAGCGGCGAUCGCAAAAGGAUUUUAAUAGGUUGUACUUACAAACACGCACGAAUUUUAACUCAU